rnacentral:rRNA from 1 species
AGAGUUUGAUCCCUGGCUCAGGAUGAACGCUGGCGGCGUGCCUAACACAUGCAAGUCGAACGGCAGCGAGGAGUGCUUGCACUCUGUCGGCGAGUGGCGAACGGCUGAGUAACGCGUAGGAACGUACCCCAAAGUGAGGGAUAAGCCCGAGAAAUCGGGUCUAAUACCGCAUAUGAUCUUCGGAUUAAAGCAUUUAUGCGCUUUGGGAACGGCCUGCGUCGGAUUAGGUUGUUGGUGAGGUAAUGGCUCACCAAGCCGACGAUCCGUAACUGGUCUGAGAGGAUGAUCAGUCAGACUGGAACUGAGACACGGUCCAGACUCCUACGGGAGGCAGCAGUGAGGAAUCUUCCACAAUGGGGGCAACCCUGAUGGAGCAACGCCGCGUGCAGGAUGAAGGCCUUCGGGUUGUGAACUGCUUUUAUUUGUGAAGAAUAUGACGGUAACAAAUGAAUAAGGAUCGGCUAACUACGUGCCAGCAGCCGCGGUCAUACGUAGGAUCCGAGCGUUAUCCGGAGUGACUGGGCGUAAAGAGUUGCGUAGGCGGUUUGUUAAGCGAAUAGUGAAAUCUGGUGGCUCAACCAUACAGACUAUUAUUCGAACUGGCAAACUCGAGAGUAGCAGAGGUAACUGGAAUUUCUAGUGUAGGAGUGAAAUCCGUAGAUAUUAGAAGGAACACCGAUGGCGUAGGCAGGUUACUGGGCUAUUUCUGACGCUAAGGCACGAAAGCGUGGGGAGCGAACCGGAUUAGAUACCCGGGUAGUCCACGCCGUAAACGAUGGAUACUAGCUGUUGGAGGUAUCGACCCCUUCAGUAGCGAAGCUAACGCGUUAAGUAUCCCGCCUGUGUAGUACGAUCGCAAGAUUAAAACAUAAAGGAAUUGACGGGGACCCGCACAAGCGGUGGAGCGUGUUCUUUAAUUCGAUGAUAAACGAAGAACCUUACCCAGGCUUGACAUCCCUUGAAUUUUGUCGAAAGACGAAAGUGCUUUUAGAACAAGGUGACAGGUGUUGCAUGGCCGUCGUCAGCUCGUGUCGUGAGAUGUUUGGUUAAGUCCAUCAACGAGCGCAACCCUUAUGAAUAGUUGUAUUUUUCUAUUCAGACUGCCCCGGUAACGGGGAGGAAGGAGGGGAUGAUGUCAGGUC